rnacentral:tRNA from 1 species
AAGGUUUUAGCUUAAGUAAAGUGUCUGAGUUGCAAUUAGAUGAUGUAAAUGAUAGUUUUGCAAAUCUU